rnacentral:rRNA from 1 species
UAGAGGUGGUGCAUGGCCGUCGUCAGUUCGUACCGUAAGGCGUUCUGUUAAGUCAGAUAACGAACGAGACCCUCGCCCUUAAUUGCCAACCCAUUCUUCGGAGUGGGCGCACAUUAAGGGGGACCGCUGGCGCUAAGUCAGAGGAAGGAGAGGUCAACGGUAGGUCAGUAUGCCCCGAAUCUCCCGGGCUACACGCGCGCUACAAAGGAUAGGACAAUGGGAUGCAAUACCGAGAGGUAACGCGAACCCCGAAACCUAUUCGUAGUUCGAACUGAGGGCUGUAACUCGCCCUCACGAAGCUGGAUUCCGUAGUAAUCGCGGGUCAACAUCCCGCGGUGAAUAUGCCCCUGCUCUUU